UACGGGGGGGGCAAGCGUUGUUCGGAAUUACUGGGCGUAAAGGGCCUGUAGGCGGCCGGCUAAGUCCGACGUGAAAUCCCCAGGCUUAACCUGGGAACUGCGUCGGAUACUGGCUGGCUUGAAUUCGGGAGAGGGAUGCAGAAUUCCAGGUGUAGCGGUGAAAUGCGUAGAUAUCUGGAGGAAUACCGGGGGCGAAGGCGGCAUCCUGGACCGACAUUGACGCUGAACGGCGAAAGCUAGGGGAGCAAAAGGG
rnacentral:rRNA from 1 species